UUGACUACAGCAGAGUGGGACAGACUGCAGAGGCUCGAGACCCUCCUUAAACCAUGCAGGUAAACACCCACCAACUGUUUUAUUAAUGGGAUUAAUUCAUCAUUGCUGUCCCUUGAAAAACGUUGUGAAUUGACUAUGAUUGUGCAGUAUAAAUUAAAUUGCUUUUCCAAAAUGUAUUGUACUGAAUAUCAAUAUCACUAUGACUAUAGUAUAAAGUUGCUACUGUUUUUAAUCUACUAUUAAUUGGUACAAUAAUAAAUCACUUUCCUAAACUAUCCACUGCAGAUAUGUGACUGAGCUCCUUGGGGGUGAGACUUAUGUCUCGUGCUCUGUUGUGUUACCUGCUCUCCGCCACCUGACCCGCACCAUGGAGGUCUCAGAUGACGACCCAGCCUAUGUGGUGAGGUUCAAGGCUGCCUUUAAAAAGGACCUGUCUCAACGCCAAGAUGCACUCAACCAUGGAUGAGUCAGGGUGGCUACAGCACUCGACCCGCGCUUUAAGGACCUAAAGUGUCUACCAAGAGGAGAGCGAGGAGGGGUGUGGACCAGCGUUGAGGCACUGCUGCAAAAAGAACCAGACAGAGCCACUCCAGAACCCACAGAGGAGCCAGCAAGGAAGAGGAGCUUCCUGCUGUUUAAUUCAGACUCUGAAUCAGAGGAUGAAGAGGGGCCCAACGGGGCUCUGGGCCGCUACAGAGCAGAGCCCACCAUCAGUGAGACAGACUGCCCACUGAAGUGGUGGUCCACUCAUGAGGGGGCCCAUCCACAGCUUUCUGCCCUGGCCCGCAAGUAUCUGGGCAGCCCUGCCACUUCUGUCCCUUGCGAGAGACUUUUCUCACUGGCAGGUAACAUAGUUCAAAAGAAGAGGGCAGCCUUGAGCUCUGAAAAUGUGAACAGGCUAGUUUGUCUCAGCAACUGGCUGAAAGAGAAGAAGCAGAAUAAGUAGUCUUAGAGGUAUCCUGAGGCCAAUGGGCUUGUUACUGAAAUGUUGAUCAAACAGUGGCCUAUGCAACAGAGAUUUUAUUUUUCAUCAGGAUAUUGGAAGAAUAGGAGGGAUUGAGGUCAAUCACUGGCACUUUUUUAUUUUAUUUUAAAUGGUACACUUGAUGUUGAACUAUUUAUUAUGUUGUUGGUGCAACUGGCACUUUAUGUUGAACUGUUUAUUGUUUUGGCCAAGGUUAUUGAGAUAGUUGGACUGAAAUUGAUUAGAUUUUUUAAAUCAACAAAGUCUGUUAUGGCCUCUGAAGCAAGAGAGAUGUUUUCGAAUAGUCAGGGUUUCCAAUGUUCUAAAUGUACUAGAAAGUAUUGUGUUUUACUUAAAAAAGUACCACCUUGAAAAAAAAUAAACAAUGUUUUGUUGCUUAA